rnacentral:rRNA from 1 species
GAUGAACGCUGGCGGCGUGCCUAAUACAUGCAAGUCGAGCGAACGGACUAGAAGCUUGCUUCUCUGUUGUUAGCGGCGGACGGGUGAGUAACACGUGGAUAACCUACCUAUAAGACUGGGAUAACUUCGGGAAACCGGCGCUAAUACCGUAUAAUAUUUUGCACCGCAUGGUUCAAAAGUGAAAGACUGUCUUGCUGUUACUUAUAGAUGGAUUCGGGCUGCAUUAGCUAGUUGGUAAGGUAACGGCUUACCAAGGCAACGAUGCGUAGCCGACGUGGGAGGGGGAUAGGCCACACGAGAAGGGGAACAGGGUCCAGGCUACUAAGGGAGGCAGCAGUAGGGAAUCUUAGGCAAUAGGCGAAAGCAUGGCGGAGCAAGGCCGAGUGAGAGAUGAAGGUCUUGGGAUAGUAAAGAUCGGUUAUUAGGGAAGAACAUAUGUGUAAGGAAAUGUGCAGAUAGUGACGGUACCUAAACAGAAAGCCACGGCUAACUACGUG